rnacentral:sRNA from 1 species
CUCAGGAGCAUCACCCUGCACCACCGGAUCCGGCAGGCCCCCAACCCGUACUCGUCGGAAAUCAAGGCCUUUGACGCCCGGCUGCAGAGAGGGGAGCUCUUCUCCAGGGAGGACCUGGUCUCGUAAGUGGCAGGGGCCGGGGGGUGGAGCUGCUGCAGCAUGGGGGCCCUGGGGUGACACGCAGUGUCCCCGUCAGGUACAAGAAAGUCUUGUGGGAGGCUCGGAAGUUCGAGCUGGACCGGCAUGAGGUCAUCCUCUGCACCUGCUCCUGCGCAGCCUCUGCCAGUCUCAAAACCCUGGACGUGAGGCAGAUCCUUGUUGACGAGGCAGGCAUGGCCACGGAACCUGAAACCCUCAUCCCCCUGGUGCAGUUCCCACAGGCUGAGAAGGUGGUUCUUCUCGGAGACCACAAGCAGCUGCGGCCUGUGGUCAAGAAUGAGCGGCUGCAAAACCUGGGUCUGGACCGGUCUCUGUUCGAGCGGUACCACGAGGACGCACAUAUGCUGGACACUCAGUACCGCAUGCACAAGGGCAUCUGUGCCUUCCCCUCUGUGGCGUUCUACAAGAGCAGGCUGAAGACGUGGCAGGGCCUGAGAAGGCCACCCAGUGUCCUGGGCCACGCUGGCAAGGAGAGCUGCCCUUUGACCUUUGGACGCCACCUGUAAUCACUCUGGGUGGCGUCUGUGGAGUUCAGGUUUAUUUUCUAUUUAAAUGAAGUAAAAGCCAGCAUCCUGCCGGGCGCGGUGGCUCACGCCCAUAAUCCAGCACUUUGGGAAGCCAAGGCGGGCAGACCACCUGAGGUCAGGAGUUCGAGACCAUCCUGGCCAACAUGGUGAAACCCCGUCUCCACUAAAAAUACAAAAUUAGCCGGGCGUGGUGGUGUGCACCUGUAAUCCCAGCUACUCGG